GACGAACGCUGGCGGCGUGCCUAACACAUGCAAGUCGAACGAAGUAAGUUGCUUCACCAAGUGUUGAAUAGCUACCCCCAAGCGCAUUUGCCAAAGGGUAAGCAAAAAGUACUAUCAAUUAAAUAAAAUGGUGAAACAAAAGAAUAGCGAAGAAGAAGCAAAUGCGCUUCACGCUAAUUCCAAGUACCAACACAAAACAAAUUCAAUGUUUGGUGAAGCAACUUGCUUAGUGGCGGACGGGUGAGUAACGCGUGAACAAUCUGCCCCGUACAAAGGGAUAGCCUCGGGAAACCGGGAUUAAAACCAUAUAACACUUAACUGCCGCAUGGUAGUGAAGUCAAAUCGAUUAAGAGGUAUGGGAUGAGUUCGCGUCUGAUUAGCUAGUUGGUGAGGUAAGGGCUCACCAAGGCGACGAUCAGUAGCCGGCCUGAGAGGGUGAACGGCCACACUGGAACUGAGACACGGUCCAGACUCCUACGGGAGGCAGCAGUGGGAAUAUUGCACAAUGGA
rnacentral:rRNA from 1 species